AUGAAGCUCUACAGCUUCAGUGUCCUUACAAAGAGAACCAAAAGCAGUGCUGCUCAAAGCUGUGUAUGACGUGUUAGUUUCUUCUAGAGUUCCAGUGUUAAGGGAUGCAUGACCUUUACAGUCAACUGGUUUGUGGAAUGCUCGGCAAAAGGCAGCAGAGCUUUUGUCAAAGAACAAGAGUAUUUUUGCCAUGUCUACAUCCGGAGUGACAGUUUUGCAAGUGUGGUCACUGCUGACAGCGAAUACCCUUCCAGAGUGGCUUUUACCUUGCUGGAAAAGGUACUAGAUGAACUCUCCAAGCAGGUUGAUAGAAUAGACUAGCCUGUAGGAUCCCCUGCUACAAGAUACCAGAACCCCUGAGAAGCUGAUCCCAUGAGUAAAGUCCAGGCUGAACUGGAAGAGAGCAAAAGCAUUCUGCAUAGCACCAUGGAGUCUUUGUUAGAGUGAAGCGAGAAGCUUGAUGCCUUGGUAUCCAGAUCUGGGUACUGGGAACACAGUUGAAAGCCUUCUAUAAGACUGCCCGGAAAG
rnacentral:lncRNA from 1 species